rnacentral:tRNA from 2 species
GGAGGAAUGCCAGAGCGGUUGAUUGGAGCAGUCUUGAAAACUGUCGUACCUUCACGGGUACCGUGGGUUCGAAUCCCACUUCCUCCUCCA